GUGGGGAAUAUUGGACAAUGGGCGAAAGCCUGAUCCAGCAAUGCCGCGUGAGUGAUGAAGGCCUUAGGGUUGUAAAGCUCUUUUACCAGGGAUGAUAAUGACAGUACCUGGAGAAUAAGCUCCGGCUAACUCCGUGCCAGCAGCCGCGGUAAUACGGAGGGAGCUAGCGUUGUUCGGAAUUACUGGGCGUAAAGCGCACGUAGGCGGCUUUUCAAGUCAGGGGUGAAAUCCCGGGGCUCAACCCCGGAACUGCCCUUGAAACUGGAUGGCUAGAAUACUGGAGAGGUGAGUGGAAUUCCGAGUGUAGAGGUGAAAUUCGUAGAUAUUCGGAAGAACACCAGUGGCGAAGGCGACUCACUGGACAGUUAUUGACGCUGAGGUGCGAAAGCGUGGGGAGCAAACAGG
rnacentral:rRNA from 1 species